rnacentral:rRNA from 1 species
GCUUACGGCCACACCGCCUGGUUCACGCCCGAUCUCGUUUGAUCUCGGAAGCUAAGAUAGGUUGGGCCUGGUAAGUACUUGGAUGGAGACCGCCUGGGAAUACCAGGUGGUGUAGCUU